rnacentral:misc_RNA from 1 species
AAUUCUCAACUUUGAAUCGUUUGUUUACAGACUUUACGAGGCUUGGACUUUGGAGUGUGCCGGUCUCUAACGAGAUCGACUCCUCUUUAAAUGCAUUAGCUGGAACCUCUUGUGGACCAGACUACGGUGUGAUAAUUAUCUACGCUGUUGGUCUUGUGAAGCACUUUAUUGUUACGAGGUUCUGCUUCUAAUCGUCCUUUACUGCGACAAUGAGGGUUUUAUUCUUAAUUGAAUUGGCCUUUGACA